AUUGAACGCUGGCGGCACGCCUUACACAUGCAAGUCGAACGGCAGCAUGGAGAGCUUGCUCUCUGAUGGCGAGUGGCGAACAGGUGAGUAAAGCAUCGGAACGUACCGUGUAGUGGGGGAUAACGUAGCGAAAGUUACGCUAAUACCGCAUACGCACUGAGGUGGAAAGCAGGGGAUCGUAAGACCUUGCGCUAUACGAGCGGCCGAUGUCAGAUUAGCUAGUUGGUAGGGUAAAGGCCUACCAAGGCGACGAUCUGUAGCGGGUCUGAGAGGAUGAUCCGCCACACUGGGACGGAGACACGGCCCAGACUCCUACGGGAGGCAGCAGUGGGGAAUGUUGGACAAUGGGGGCAACCCUGAUCCAGCCAUGCCGCGUGAGUGAAGAAGGCCUUCGGGUUGUAAAGCUCUUUCGGCCGGGAAGAAAUCGCACAGGCUAAUACCCUGUGUGGAUGACGGUACCGGCAUAAGAAGCACCGGCUAACUACGUGCCAGCCGCCGCAGUAA
rnacentral:rRNA from 1 species